rnacentral:rRNA from 1 species
GAUGAACGCUGGCGGCGUGCCUAAUACAUGCAAGUCGAGCGAACAGAUGAGGAGCUUGCUCCUCUGACGUUAGCGGCGGACGGGUGAGUAACGCGUGGAUAACCUACCUAUAAGACUGGGAUAACUUCGGGAAACCGGAGCUAAUACCGGAUAAUAUAUUGAACCGCAUGGUUCAAUAGUGAAAGACGGUUUUGCUGUCACUUAUAGAUGGAUCCGCGCCGCAUUAGCUAGUUGGUAAGGUAACGGCUUACCAAGGCAACGAUGCGUAGCCGACCUGAGAGAGUGAUCGGCCACACUGGAACUUAGACACGGUCCAGACUCCUACGGGAGGCAGCAGUAGGGAAUCUUCCGCAAUGGGCGAAAGCCUGACGGAGCAACGCCGCGUGAGUGAUGAAGGUCUUCGGAUCGUAAAACUCUGUUAUUAGGGAAGAACAAAUGUGUAAGUAACUAUGCACGUCUUGACGGUACCUAAUCAGAAAGCCACGGCUAACUACGUG